CCCUUGAAUCAGGGAGGACAGGAAGCCAUCUGUUCAAGCCAACAUUCCUCCUUUUUUGAAAGUAUGGCCUGCUCUGCUCAGCCAGAGAUGAGAUACAAGAUGAAAUAUAUAUGUUCAACAUCACUCAGUGACAGACAAGCAACAGAGAUGGAUAACUGGAAGGCAGUAUGGACUUUGCAUGACAGACUACCUGCAGAAAUAAUAACAGCUACAGUUUUGUUAGUGCUGACAUCUUUUCAGGCAGUAUCAGUACAGCAGUCCCCCAUGUGAAUUAAAUUUGUAUUUUCUUGAUUAUUAAUAAAGCUGAACAUCCUUUU